rnacentral:lncRNA from 1 species
UUACCAUCUGUCUGAUAUCUAAUGGUUCAUAGCAAAGUGUUGUUGAAGUGGUUGAAGACAGGUGCAGGUGUAUAGAGCUGUAGUCAGUAUUAUAUGAGAGGAUCAGAGAGGGUUUUUGUAGAGGAGAGAGGGUAUAGUGAAACACUGUGCUUCACUAGCAGCACAGAAAUACACUGCACUGUCUUCAGCUUCUGUCACUUUGGGAAAAUGUAGAUACGCCAUUUUAUUAGCUGCAGCAUCUCCACUGACAUCAAAACGCCCUUUAACGGAAUCUUCCACAGUUGGACUGGUGUUCCACACAUACCCAAUGAGUUUCAGAGCAGUGUUUUGGGCUGACUGUUGGUACCACAGUAUCAUGUUGUAAUUUGAAACAGUGUGGCUGCAGGUGAGAUUAACUUUGUCUUCAGGUCCUUUUAGUAUUGCAGUAGGAGUCUGGUGAACUUUGUCUGUUUGUGACAGCCCUGUGGAUGAAAACAGACCAUAUGAAAGAUACAGUAUUACUCAGCAUAUUGACAGCAAUAUAUUUCAGUAGUAAAUCUAUCUUUCAUGAGGGAUUUAGUACCUGUCACCCAUAGUGGUAGAGUUGCUACAUGUAUGAGAAGCUUGAUCAUGUUGAUGGUUCUGGAGAGAAGAGUCACAUGGACAAGGAGAAAGGGUUUUCAGAUAGUCAGAGAUGUCAUGUCAUCUAGUGGGAGUGUCAUCACAAACACAAACACACACUACAGAGCCCCAGGACAGCAGCACAAUUAGACCCAACCAAAUCAUGAGAAAACAAAAAGAUAACUACUUAACACAUUGGAAAGAAUUAACAAAAAAACAGAGCAAACUAGAAUGCUAUUUGGCCCUACACAGAGAGUACACAGCGGCAGAAUACCUGACCACUGUGACUGACCCAAAAUUAAGGAAAGCCUUGACUAUGUACAGACUCAGUGAGCAUAGCCUUGCUAUUGAGAAAGGCCGCCGUAGGCAGACAUGGCUCUCAAGAGAAGACAGGCUAUGUGCUCACUGCCCACAAAAUGAGGUGGAAACUGAGCUGCACUUCCUAACCUCCUGCCCAAUGUAUGACCAUAUUAGAGAGACAUAUUUCCCUCAGAUUACACAGAUCCACAAAGAAUUCGAAAACAAAUCCAAUUUUGAAAAACUCCCAUAUCUACUGGGUGAAAUUCCACAGUGUGCCAUCACAGCAGCAAGAUUUGUGACCUGUUGCCACGAGAAAAGGGCAACCAGUGAAGAACAAACACCAUUGUAAACACAACCCAUAUUUAUGCUUAUUUAUUUUAUCUUGUGUCCUUUAGCCAUUUGUACAUUGUUAGAACACUGUAUAUAUAUAUAAUAUGACAUUUGUAAUGUCUUUACUGUUUUGAAACUUCUGUAUGUGUAAUGUUUACUGUUAAUUUUUGUUGUUUUUGACUUUAUAUAUUCACUUUGUAUGUUGUCUACCUCACUUGCUUUGGCAAUGUUAACACAUGUUUCCCAUGCCAAUAAAGCCAUUGAAUUGAAUUGAAUUGAGAGAGAGGGGAGAGAUAGAGAGAGAGGGGAGAGAUAGAGAGAGAGAGAGGGGAGAGAUAGAGAGAGAGAGAGAGAGAGAGAGAGAGGGGAGAGAUAGAAAUGGAGUAAUGGAAUAUGACAUUGUAACAUUGCAUAAUGUAUGUUAAUGAGUGGUGACAGUAAACUGUAAAUACUGGUAUACUGUACUAGGACAGAUAUCACCUUAUGCCAUCAUCCAUCUGUGUUUAUUCAUUGGCAUUGAGUCAAAGUCAAACCUCAGAUGCAGGUGUUCUGAGCCGUGGUCUAAUAUUACCAUCAGACAGGGUUUUAGUAGAGAACAGGAGGAAGUCUACAUCACUGUGUUGGCUGGCUGCACAGUAAUAAACUGCACAGUGUUCAGGUCCUCUCAGACUCAAUAGAUGAAGAUAAGCCUCUUUCCCACCAUCUCCACUCACAUUGAAGUGCUUUUCAAAUGAUUUCUCCAUGGUUAUUAACUUGGUAUAUGCAUAACCAAUGAGUUUCAUAGCAGUGUCUCCUGCUGACUGUUUGUACCAUAGUAUCACGUAGUAGUUAGGGAUCGUAUGGCUGCAGGUGAGUUGAACGUCUCCUCCAGGACCUUCUGUUAGUGCCACAGGCCUCUGAUGAACCAUGCUACUAAACACCUGCCCUGUGGACAGAGAGAGAGAGAGAGAGGAGAGGGAGAGAGAGGGAGAGAGAGAAGAGGGGAGAGAAGGAGAGAGAGAGAGGAGAGAGAGGGAGAGAGAGAGACAGAGAGAGGAGAGAAGGUGAUAGAGAAAGAGAGGAGAGACGGAGAGAGGAGAGAAGUUGAGAAAGAUGGAGCAAGAGAAAGGAUAUUUUAUUCAGUUUGAUAACAUUCGUAGUAUCGUUAUGCUUCUCAUCUUAAGUGAUGUAAUACCUGUCACCCAGAGUGGUAGAGCUGCCAGGUGAAUCAGAACUCUGAACAUCAUGAUGAAGAAAAAGAUAAUGAUGAAGAUGAUGAAUAUGCUGAGGAAGACGAUGAUGAUGUGAUAUGAGUGUCUCCUGGAGGAAGCUCUGAGGUGAAAGGAGAUUGGCUGUUGUAGUAGCAUGUUUCCU